UAAAAGAGUAUGAAUCUAGUAGUGACCUGGGUAUGUAAACAGGAAUACGAUAUUCUGGAGAAAAUGAACACAGCAUAAUUUGGGGUAAAAGGUGCAAAAGCCCCACAACUUUAAAGCAGUACAGCUGGAUAUUUUGAAAGUAGAUAUAGGCAUUGAAACUGGGAUUUUCAUCAAAUGUGGGAGUCCUCAAGCAAGAAAGCAGAUGCAGCAGCCUCUAAGGAGUUCAGAAAUUCCUGCCUGCCAGAGGUUUUACUGUAAGCUCCUUAAGCAAACCAACGAAGUUAGAG